AAAAAUACGAUGGUUAAUGCUGCUAAACUUGAGACUUUUGAUGGCUAAUAACACCACAAUAGUGUAGUUUCUUAAUGAUUUUCAGUAGUAAACGUAAUAAAAUCUAAUUAAAGUACAUAAUCCAAUUCCGGAAUUUUCGAUAAUCUGUGGUCGCCAUUCCGGAAUUGUAAUAUCGAAAAAUUGGUCCAAGAUUCCGGAAUUUCGAAAUUCAGGAAUCUCGGAUUGCAAGCCAUAUCGAAUACCCUAUUGUGGGUAUCUUACCAGCCAACCAUAGGGCAAAUCUGAAAUGUGUCAAGGUGGGUGCAAUGACAAAAAAAUCAUGUUACCUCCUUUUCUACAUAAUUAGGCGUAGGACGCUGUCUUUUUAAUUUCAUUGCAUGAAAUCCAAAAUCAACAAUAAUCGUUCUUUCACCGGUCUUCCUCAUUGAAGUCGUUUUUUUUUUCUUAAAAAAUAUUAUUAAAAACUCAAGCGUUUCGUGAGACAAAAGGCGUUUUAUUCCGUUAAGGAAUUCCUGAAAGGCUAAUGAAUGUUAAAUAGAAGGCUAGUAUUCUUUUUGACUACCUUAAUUAUUGAAUAUACUUUAGCCAAACGUAUUGGAACGGGGUGCAGUUAUUUUACUUUCAAUUUAAUUUGUAAAUUACGUAUCUAUGACAAUGUAUGGUCAAGACAAGUAAAGAAUAUGAAUAUAAUAUUCAACAUGUGUCACGUACCCAAUUUCCCAGUCUGACCUUAUAUGUACCUAUAUUAAAUUAUGUAGUAACAUCUGAUAUAGGUUGACAAGCUUCUGCAUUUCAUUCUGCACCGAAUUGGAAAGAGACAGAAUUUAAGAGUACCACAAAUCUUAUGAAUAUGGAAACACUCAUGCCACUGAAAUGUAGGUGCAAGUUACUUAGAGCUUGUUACUCCUUCCUGAAUUUAGUAACUGACGACAGGGACGCAGCAAUACGUAGAAGUGACAUGGGGGUAUAUUAUCUGCAUCGUGUCUUACGUAUAGCGGCGUCCCACUAGUUAGUUACUAAAAUUACUUAGCUUGUACCCGAUUAUAAAUACGUUAUUAAAAAAAGUUAGCCAUUGAGUCGUAAAAAAUCUUUGGCAUUUUUACUAUGGAAUGAAAUGGUUAACUGACAUAUUUCAUAGGCAACAUGUAAGAAUAAUUAAUGAAAAUUAACUGUGUCCUGUUCAUUUCGGCUCAAUAUGUAUUUUGGCCUGAGGGUGAUAAAGCGAGUUUUAAGGUUUUUGUCCCCACUUUAUCCGCAUUGCGCGGGUUGGCGUCGCUCGUAUGUUGACUUAAGACAAGAUUUUCUACCUGCUAUCUUUGGGUGAAGAUACCUUUGCAACCCGUUUUGCACAUAUUUUUUAUUGCUAGGAAUAUGUUUUGUGUGGCUACAUAGUAUCUGUCUAAUUUUAUGUCUAUCUGAUGAUUCCCUCAAAAAUAGUCCAUGAUAUAGUUAGCAAUUACACUUCUGGAUGUAAAAUUAUAUAAAUAAUUUCUCUGGGGAUACAAGUUUUUCUGAUCUCAGUUACAGUUAGCGAGCUAGUCUGAGCUUUUUUGCUGCUGUUUUCUUGCUAAUUGGUCAUUAACUACAAGCUACCUACUUAGAUUCUUCUAGUACUUAGCGAACUCGGCUGAGUCCACUUUGCUACCUACUUAUCUUCUCAGUGCGGCUUGAAUGUUCACCUAAGUCCCAACUACUUUAGCGUAGGGAGGUACUUUGCGAGAAUUGCGAGUUUUUUUCUUAUGUAAAGCUACUAAUAAUAAAAGAGAACGGGAUUUCUUCCCAGGUGUUGGCGAUUGCUUUUUUUGGUGAUUUGACAUUCCUACUGAAACCAAGUGUUAUAUAGUUCAAUAAUUUCAUUAAUAAUUAGGUACUUAAAACAUCGUAAGUAAAGAAAUAUGUAUAAGUAUAUAUCUCGCAGUAAGAUGGUGAAAGCGGUAUAUUCCUACGACUGUACUUUUAUCUAAUUAAUAUACCGCAAUAUACAUAUGGCGUUAAUAGCGAUAUUUAUAGCCGCGCUACAAAGCCUCAAUUAGCAAUUAAUCGUUUCUCUUAAUCUGUAAUUUUGAGAAUAUAAAUUAACUAAUUCAAGCUUGUAAAAUUUUAUCAAUAAGCGCCACUUGAACCAUCCCACUAACCCGGGGUUAAGCGGUUAAACCUGUAGUUACUAUGGUUAUUGGUUACCAGUACAAUUUGACACUGGGUUAACGGUUUAACCGGGUUAGUGGGAUGGUGUAAGUGUCCCUAAGGAAGAUAAACUGUAAGUAACUAGUUAUCUUACUGAGCAUAUGAAUUAUAUACCUUUUAAUAAAGGGACCAGUGGCGGAGCAUAAAAUAUCUAUACCCCUUGCAAUUGGUAAAACGAAUCGGAUAGGUACUUAGCCUAAAUUCUCUUUGAAGUGGGUACCCUAAGAUUUCCCAUCAGAUCUUAACAUAAUAUCAAUGGGACCAACUUAAAAAAAGCGGCCAAGUGCGAGUCGGACUCGCGCAUGAAGGGUUCCGUACCAUUUAAGACGUACGCACUGACCUAUCACACAUAGACAGUUAGUCCUCAUAAGGCUAAUCUGCCAAAAGUGAAGCCGAAACUCGAUCGAUGUGUGCGUGCGACGCUCGUGUCUUACGCUCAGCGACACACACAUAUAUACAAAAACGGGUUGCCAGAGUUCAUUUAUUCCCCUUAAAGUAGAUGGAUUUUAACCACAUCCUUAUACUUGGCUAUCAAUCAUUUGGGAGUGUGUAUGUAGAUAUUAAAUUUGUAGCAAAAGCUUUCAAGGUUUCUUUUAAGGACUUUGCAUUUCUGUACUUUGUGAAAUAAUGUUUAAAUAAAAAAACGUUUAUUUUUUUAUUUUACAAAUGUGCACAGAUAAUAGCUGGUAGAAUUGACUUUGGAAUAAUGAUUUUAAAUGAUAAAUAUUUAAUGACGAU